CUCUAAAUGUACACUGGUUCAUCUGACGUUUAAAUGGAUCAGUAGCCAAUAGGAACUGGGGGCGUAGGUCAGCGAUUCCCACCAAACAAUGACGGGAAGCAUGCAACACGCCCCCCAAGGACGUAUCGGCAUCCCAUUGGUUGCUUAGUCCCAACGGACAAGUACCCUAACAGGGAAUUAACCCGUGGGGUGCCUUGUCCCAAUGGGGCUAUAAGGCAUCAGACUCGUGCAGUCAUGGGAUCUUAAAGGAAUAGAGCUAUCACUAGCAAUCUAUUCCGAGGACAAUUGUGUCCAUUAAGGUGUUGGCCGAGAGGAGAGAGUGUUUCAUAAGAAGGCAAAUAGGGCAACCCUUAAUAAACAUAAAACUGGAGUUAAGAAAAAUACUAGUCCAAAUUAUAAGUCGAUGUACAAAGGGUGUCGACAGAAUAUAAAAGGGGCACUAAACAUUGGAUAUGAAACCUAAAUCUACAUAAAGAAAAUCUUGACAAAGAUUUUAUUAAACAACAAUGUGAAAGACCUGCCUGACGGUCCAGACAGAAAGUCAAGAGAAUUUAAUUUGCAAGCCCUAUAUCGGACCCCGUACAUUUCAAAAACACCAUAAAACCUGUACAUGGGGGGUAUUGUUGUAUGUGUGAGACAUUGCUGGACACAAAUUUGAGUGUUUUAGAGCAGUAAAAGUAUA